ensembl:snoRNA SNORD58 Small nucleolar RNA SNORD58
CUGCGGUGAUGACUCUCUUAGGACACCUUUGGAUUUAAUCGUGAAAAGAAAUGAGCUUCUGAGCAGC